rnacentral:tRNA from 1 species
GGGUCGUUAGCUCAGUUGGUAGAGCAGUUGGCUUUUAACCAAUUGGUCGUAGGUUCGAAUCACACACGACCCACCA